rnacentral:rRNA from 1 species
UUAUAAGAGACAGCAGUAGCCACGGUAAUACAGAGGGUGCGAGCGUUAAUCGGAUUUACUGGGCGUAAAGCGUGCGUAGGCGGCUUUUUAAGUCGGAUGUGAAAUCCCUGAGCUUAACUUAGGAAUUGCAUUCGAUACUGGGAAGCUAGAGUAUGGGAGAGGAUGGUAGAAUUCCAGGUGUAGCGGUGAAAUGCGUAGAGAUCUGGAGGAAUACCGAUGGCGAAGGCAGCCAUCUGGCCUAAUACUGACGCUGAGGUACGAAAGCAUGGGGAGCAAACAGGAUUAGAUACCCGUGUAGUCCCUGUCUCUUAUAC